ensembl:misc_RNA Metazoa_SRP Metazoan signal recognition particle RNA
GCUGAGCAUGGUGGUGCCUGCCUGUAGUCCCAGCUACCCAGGAGGCUGAGGCAGGAGGAUCACUUGAGCCCAGGAGUUUGAGGCUGCAGUGAGUUAUAAUAGUGCCACUGCACUCCAGCCUGGGUGACAGAGUGUGAUCCUGUCUCUA